rnacentral:rRNA from 1 species
UACGGAGGGUGCAAACUUUGCUCGGAAUCAUUGGGCGUAAAGCGCACGUAGGCGGCCCGGUAAGUCGGAUGUGAAAGCCCUCGGCUCAACUGAGGAAGUGCAUUCGAAACUGCUGGACUUGAGUACGGGAGAGGGAUGCGGAAUUCCCGGUGUAGAAGUGAAAUUCGUAGAUAUCGGGAGGAACACCAGUGGCGAAGGCGGCAUCCUGGACCGAUACUGACGCUGAGGUGCGAAAGCGUGGGGAGCAAACAGG